AUGGCUGAUAAAUCAACUGCUAUACCUGUCGGUAUCCGUGAGGAUGUGCCUGUUGUGGUUGCAAACGUUACUAUUUUAACGGACUUUGUUAUUCUUGAUAUUCCUGAGGAUGAUAGUAUGUCUAUUAUUCUUGGAAGACCUUUUCUUAAUACUGCAGGGGCUGUUAUUGAUUGCAACAAAGGCAAUGUCACUUUUCAUGUUAAUGGUAAUGAGCAUACGGUACACUUUCCGAGGAAACAACCCCAAGUUCAUAGUAUCAACUCCAUUGGAAAAAUUCCAUCGAUUAUAAUUGGAGGUUUUGAAUUUCCUCUUCCUACUGUCAAGAAGAAAUAUGAUAUACUUAUUAUUGGGGAUGUGCAUAUCCCCGUUGAGGAAUAUUUGAGGAUUUACUGUGCAAAAAUUACCGCGGGAGGAGCUGCCACCUGGCCACGAGGGUGGUGGGCGCCCCCUCCUAGGGCAUGCCCCCCUGCCUCGUGGGCCCACGGUGGCCCUCCUCCACUUAUCCCAGCACCCAUCUUCUUCCUCUGUCUCACACAAACCCGAAAAACCAACUCAAGCACGAGUUCCAGCCACUUUUGCUGUGAUUUUCGAUCUCCUUGCUCAAAGCACCUCUCGCAAAACUGCUUGGGGAGAUUGUUCCUUGGUAUGUGA
rnacentral:rRNA from 1 species